AACAGUACUGUCUCUUCAGUCAUGGUGGUGUAUCUCAGGUAUACGAUGUUUUUUGUUACAGCUUGGGGCAAAAGAAGGACCCUUCAAAUACCAAGAGGCUGUGGCUGAUGAGUUGCAGACAGCAAGAACAUACAGCAAGGGGAAGGACACUGUGCUGUUUGACACCCUCUCCCCACACACAGAGAGUCAUCAAGGACACUAAGACAACAAGCAAAUCUCUUCAAGUCACAGAGAAGGAUCUUGCUGAAAAGAAUUAGUGAAAAUUUCCCCAAUGGUGGACCCAUGCUUCCUGUUUAGGUGGGCCUAGAGAAAUUAUGCUUCUUAUGCAAACAGUAAUUAUUUUAUGCUGGGAUAAGAGCAUGCUAGAGGAUUUGUAGAGAUCCGAGAUGGCAGAGGGUGAGUCUUCUAAGUGAAACCUUUUUGCAUUGUAA
rnacentral:lncRNA from 1 species